rnacentral:rRNA from 1 species
CGGGCUAAUACCGGAUGUGGUACGGAGACAUAAGUCUCUUUACUAAAGGUAGCUUCGGCUUCCGCAUUGGGAGGGGCCCGCGGCCCAUUAGCUAGUUGGUGGGGUCAAGGCCUACCAAGGCAACGAUGGGUAGCUGGUCUGAGAGGACGAUCAGCCACACUGGGACUGAGACACGGCCCAGACUCCUACGGGAGGCAGCAGUGGGGAAUCUUGCGCAAUGCGCGAAAGCGUGACGCAGCAACACCGCGUGAGGGAAGACGGCCUUAGGGUUGUAAACCUCUUUCAGAUGGGACGAAGGUGAUGCGGUGAAUAGCCGAUGUCAUUGACGGUACCGUCAGAAGAAGCUCCGGCUAACUACGUG